rnacentral:lncRNA from 1 species
UCGGAAUGAAAUCAUAACUUUUCAUUUUUAUUUUCUUUUUGAUUUUUGAAGUUGUUUUUUGAAUCUUAAUUGGAGGCAACCCAAAAAUAACAUAAUCGUAACAGUCUGUAAUGUUGGAAAAAGAUUGCAAGAGCUCACAGGUUUUGCGCCUUUUUCUGUUUUGAAUAUCAACCUUUUUGCUUGUUUUGAUCUAUUUUAGCCUUAUUUGAUCUAUCU